rnacentral:rRNA from 1 species
CCUACGGUGUGCAGCAGUGGGGGAUAUUGCACAAUGGGGGGAACCCUGAUGCAGCGACGCCGCGUGGGUGCAGGAGUGCUUCGGCAUGUAAAGCCCUAUCGGCAGGGACGAAGCAAGCCGGUACCUGACUAAGAAGACCCGGCUAACUACGUGCCAGCAGCCGCGGUAAUACGGAGGGGGCAAGCGUUAUCCGGAUUUAUUGGGUUUAAAGGGUGCGAAGGCGGAUUUUUAAGUCAGCGGUCAAAUCGUGGGGCUAAACCCCAUCCAGCCGUUGAAACUGGGGAUCUAGAGUGUGCGAGAGGUAUGCGGAAUGCGUGGUGUAGCGGUGAAAUGCAUAGAUAUCACGCAGAACCCCGAUUGCGAAGGCAGCAUACCGGUGCACAACUGACGCUCAGGCACGAAAGCGGGGGUAUCGAACAGGAUUAGAUACCCUUGUAGUC